rnacentral:tRNA from 1 species
UUCCAGGGAUGGGAAUCGAACCCACAGUGUUCCGCUUACCGGGCAGAUUCCAUGUCCACUAGGCUACCCUGGA